rnacentral:rRNA from 1 species
UCCUACGGGGGGCAGCAGUGAGGAAUAUUGGUCAAUGGGCGCGAGCCUGAACCAGCCAAGUCGCGUGAGGGAGGACGGCCCUACGGGUUGUAAACCUCUUUUGCCGGGGAGCAACGGGCGUCACGUGUGGCGCCACUGAGAGUACCCGGAGAAAAAGCAUCGGCUAACUCCGUGCCAGCAGCCGCGGUAAUACGGAGGAUGCGAGCGUUAUCCGGAUUUAUUGGGCGUAAAGCGAGCGCAGGCGGUUGCUUUGGUCUGAUGUGAAAGCCUUCGG